GAUGAACGCUGGCGGCGUGCCUAAUACAUGCAAGUCGAGCGAACGGACGAGAAGCUUGCUUCUCUGAUGUUAGCGGCGGACGGGUGAGUAACACGUGGAUAACCUACCUAUAAGACUGGGAUAACUUCGGGAAACCGGAGCUAAUACCGGAUAAUAUUUUGAACCGCAUGGUUCAAAAGUGAAAGACGGUCUUGCUGUCACUUAUAGAUGGAUCCGCGCUGCAUUAGCUAGUUGGUAAGGUAACGGCUUACCAAGGCAACGAUGCAUAGCCGACCUGAGAGGGUGAUCGGCCACACUGGAACUGAGACACGGUCCAGACUCCUACGGGAGGCAGCAGUAGGGAAUCUUCCGCAAUGGGCGAAAGCCUGACGGAGCAACGCCGCGUGAGUGAUGAAGGUCUUCGGAUCGUAAAACUCUGUUAUUAGGGAAGAACAUAUGUGUAAGUAACUGUGCACAUCUUGACGGUACCUAAUCAGAAAGCCACGGCUAACUACGUGCCAGCAGCCGCGGUAAUACGUAGGUGGCAAGCGUUAUCCGGAAUUAUUGGGCGUAAAGCGCGCGUAGGCGGUUUUUUAAGUCUGAUGUGAAAGCCCACGGCUCAACCGUGGAGGGUCAUUGGAAACUGGAAAACUUGAGUGCAGAAGAGGAAAGUGGAAUUCCAUGUGUAGCGGUGAAAUGCGCAGAGAUAUGGAGGAACACCAGUGGCGAAGGCGACUUUCUGGUCUGUAACUGACGCUGAUGUGCGAAAGCGUGGGGAUCAAACAGGAUUAGAUACCCUGGUAGUCUACGCCGUAAACGAUGAGUGCUAAGUGUUAGGGGGUUUCCGCCCCUUAGUGCUGCAGCUAACGCAUUAAGCACUCCGCCUGGGGAGUACGACCGCAAGGUUGAAACUCAAAGGAAUUGACGGGGACCCGCACAAGCGGUGGAGCAUGUGGUUUAAUUCGAAGCAACGCGAAGAACCUUACCAAAUCUUGACAUCCUUUGACAACUCUAGAGAUAGAGCCUUCCCCUUCGGGGGACAAAGUGACAGGUGGUGCAUGGUUGUCGUCAGCUCGUGUCGUGAGAUGUUGGGUUAAGUCCCGCAACGAGCGCAACCCUUAAGCUUAGUUGCCAUCAUUAAGUUGGGCACUCUAAGUUGACUGCCGGUGACAAACCGGAGGAAGGUGGGGAUGACGUCAAAUCAUCAUGCCCCUUAUGAUUUGGGCUACACACGUGCUACAAUGGACAAUACAAAGGGCAGCGAAACCGCGAGGUCAAGCAAAUCCCAUAAAGUUGUUCUCAGUUCGGAUUGUAGUCUGCAACUCGACUACAUGAAGCUGGAAUCGCUAGUAAUCGUAGAUCAGCAUGCUACGGUGAAUACGUUCCCGGGUCU
rnacentral:rRNA from 1 species